rnacentral:rRNA from 1 species
AUACCGGCGGCUCGAGUGGUGGCCACUUUUAUUGGGCUUAAAGCGUUCGUAGCUGGGUUGUUAAGUCUCUUGGGAAAUCCGGCGGCUUAACCGUCGGGCGUCUAAGAGAUACUGGCAAUCUUGGAACCGGGAGAGGUGAGGGGUACUUCGGGGGUAGGAGUGAAAUCCUGUAAUCCUCGAGGGACCACCUGUGGCGAAGGCCCCUCACCAGAACGGCUUCGACAGUGAGGGACGAAAGCUGGGGGAGCAAACCGGAUUAGAUACCCGGGUAGGCCCAGCCGUAAACGAUGUGCGUUAGGUGUAUCGACGACCACGAGUCGUCGAGGUGCCGAAGGGAAACCGUGAAACGUACCGCCUGGGAAGUACGGUCGCAAGGCUGAAACUCAAAGGAAUUGGCGGGG